rnacentral:rRNA from 1 species
GGUAACGCCUGCCCAGUGAAACUUCAACGGCCGCGGUAUCCUAACCGUGCAAAGGUAGCGUAAUCACUUGUCCUCUAAAUAAGGACUAGUAUGAACGGCUAAAUGAGGGUUAAUCUGUCUCCUCUAACUAGUCAGUGAAACUGAUCUACCAGUACAAAAGCUGGUAUAUUCCCAUAAGACGAGAAGACCCUGUGGAGCUUUAAAUCAAAAUCAAAACAAAUCUCACCCACUAAUUCCCUGAUUUAAAUGAUUUUCAGUUGGGGCGACUUCGGAAUUAAAAAUAACUUCCGAGCACAAGAUUCUACUCUUAUCCAGACCUACAAGUCUAAACAAAAUUUGACCCAGUCAUACUGACCAACGAACCAAGUUACCCCAGGGAUAACAGCGCAAUCUUCUUCAAGAGUCCAUAUCGACAAGAAGGUUUACGACCUCGAUGUUGGAUCAGGACACCCUAUUGGUGCAGCCGCUAUUAAGGGUUCGUUUGUUCAACGAUU